CAAGAUAACACUAACAAAGUUGACCUUAGAAUUGGAGUGCCCGGGUUAGAACCUUGCUGGUACCACCUGCUUACUGCAUGCUUCUGAUGUGAGUUCAGGAGAAGCCACUGGCAAGGACAGCAAAGAACAGGAGAACACUCUAGCUUCCCUGAUAGCAUUCAAGGUGCUGUCCAAAGCUCUUGAGUUUCUGCUUUCAAGUGACCCUCAGAAAUGCCCCCAUUCACUGCAGAGGUUCUGUUUCUCCUUGUUUUGUUCCGACUUUAUGGCAGAACUAGGUUAAUGAGUUAAUUACUAUGAGUUAUCACUUGGAUUUGAAGAACCAUCAUUUCUAGGCUUUGCUGCUCAGAGUGGACAGCAGAUAGAGCAUGAAUGAGACCCCCAAAGAAGGGAAGCAAAUGAGGCAAGCCCCACAAUUAUUCUGGCUUUUUACCUAGAGACAAUCUAUGAACUGUGGGGCAAACAACAAAGAUCAAAACAGCUUGGCAAUCUGAAUUGAGGAUGAAGACACCAUUAGGGGCAGAAGUACAGGUAGCUCAAAUUUGUGGAGCAAAGUACCAGAGAAGAUAAACUGCUCCAAAUUCCAUGAGGCUGGGCAAGGAAAAACUUUGUGGAAAGAAGAAUUAUCAGGGAGCCCUAAGCUGAAAAAUUGCCAGGGCUCAUACAGACCUGGGGAAUUGGUUGAGUUUAUGCCACCUAUAGGAUAGAGAACUUGCUGAAUGUUCAAGGAUUUUGUUACAGAUGCCAGAAAGAUGACACUUAAAGGGAUGCAAAACUAACAUCUCUGGAUUAGUCUUAAUAGAGUUUAAAAAUAAGCUUAGAAAAA
rnacentral:lncRNA from 1 species